CUACGGGUGGCUGCAGUGGGGAAUAUUGCACAAUGGGCGCAAGCCUGAUGCAGCAACGCCGCGUGAGUGAAGAAGGCCUUCGGGUCGUAAAACUCUGUCCUCAAGGAAGAAACAUGACGGUACUUGAGGAGGAAGCCCCGGCUAACUACGUGCCAGCAGCCGCGGUAAUACGUAGGGGGCAAGCGUUAUCCGGAAUCACUGGGCGUAAAGGGUGCGUAGGCGGUUUAUCAAGUCAGGAGUGAAAGGCUAUGGCUCAACCAUAGUGAGCUCUUGAGACUGAUAAACUUGAGUGCAGGAGAGGAAAGUGGAAUUCCUAGUGUAGCGGUGAAAUGCGUAGAUAUUAGGAGGAACACCAGUGGCGAAGGCGACUUUCUGGACUGUAACUGACGCUGAGGCACGAAAGCGUGGGGAGCGAACAGGAUUAGAUACCCGAGUAGUC
rnacentral:rRNA from 1 species